CACCUGGACCUCCUGGAGCCUCAGUCAGUGCAGCCAGGGCAGGAGGCAUGAAUGAAAAACACGACUUUUAUUGCACAACUGGAAAACUAACCAACAUGGAGCUAAGGAAGACUGUCUUUGCUUAACUGAGCUUGACAAGAAAACUAUCAAGCCUCAGCUUUGGCAUAAAGAAGAGAGAAACUGAAUUCAACCAGCCAACCCGCCAAUCGAGUAGCCAAGUUCACUGUGCACCUACUGACUGCCCCCCCAUCUGAGGUGCCAGGCAUCUAACCAUUAACAAGACAAAGUCUUGAACGAGAGUAAAACUCUCAUGGGACUUGACUCGGGGACGAAGACAGAGCUCCUCCGUCU
ensembl:lncRNA